AAUGUAAUCAGUGAUCCUUUGGACUCUCUCUUUUAUGACACCUUUUUCUUGCAACAAUCGACCAAUUUGCUGAGCCUUGGCUUCCAAAGUUUGCUCGGCUACUCGACUUUGUUCUUGGAAUUGUCGGAAAUCUUUUUCUAGUUGUGAUAUUGCAAUAUAACAAUGCUCUCUUUUAGCAUUAAAGUCCUUCACCUGCUUAAACAUUUUGUUUUCAACGGUGAUGACCCUUUUCUUUAAUCCCGCAACCUCGUUGUCGUACUUUUGUUUUAACUGUUCAAUCAAGCACGCUUGUUCUUCCACAUU
rnacentral:lncRNA from 1 species